rnacentral:rRNA from 1 species
AGCGAACGCUGGCGGCAUGCCUUACACAUGCAAGUCGAACGGCAGCACGGGUGCUUGCACCUGGUGGCGAGUGGCGAACGGGUGAGUAAUACAUCGGAACGUACCUUAUCGUGGGGGAUAACGCAGCGAAAGCUGUGCUAAUACCGCAUACGCCCUGAGGGGGAAAGCGGGGGAUCGCAAGACCUCGCGCGAUUAGAGCGGCCGAUGCCUGAUUAGCUUGUUGGUGGGGUAAAAGCCCACCAAGGCGACGAUCAGUAGCUGGUCUGAGAGGACGAUCAGCCACACUGGGACUGAGACACGGCCCAGACUCCUACGGGAGGCAGCAGUGGGGAAUUUUGGACAAUGGGGGCAACCCUGAUCCAGCAAUGCCGCGUGAGUGAAGAAGGCCUUCGGGUUGUAAAGCUCUUUUGUCAGGGAAGAAACACCGGCUCUAACACAGUCCGGGAAUGACGGUACCUGAAGAAUAAGCACUGGCUAACUACGUGCCAGCCGCCGCCGUAA